UACAGAGGUCUCAAGCGUUGUUCGGAUUCAUUGGGCGUAAAGGGUGCGUAGGCGGCGCGGUAAGUCGGGUGUGAAAUCUCGGAGCUUAACUCCGAAACUGCAUUCGAUACUGCCGUGCUUGAGGACUGGAGAGGAGACUGGAAUUUACGGUGUAGCGGUGAAAUGCGUAGAUAUCGUAAGGAAGACCAGUGGCGAAGGCGGGUCUCUGGACAGUACCUGACGCUGAGGCACGAAGGCCAGGGGAGCAAACGGG
rnacentral:rRNA from 1 species